GGAUGUUUUACUGCUCUAUAGUCUAUAGUAGUAGCCGACCAACGGUCGGUGCCAACGUCUGCUCUGUUGAUCCAUCUGAAUGGACGGCUUUUACACCAUGUUCAAUUGUUCAUGGACGGCUUGUACACCAGUGAAAUUGGGAAAAGACGGCUUGUACACCACCUGAAAAAAGUCGUCCAUUACUAAGCCAUCCCUGGCUGAUGCAUCAUCGUCUGAUGCAUUGUCCGAGCUUUUAUAUCUUAAGUGUUUGAACAAGAAAUUACAUGGAGAGGAAGCUUCAGUUUGGUACUUGAUUUGUCCCUUUGUUGGGCAAGAUGGAAAAAGAUCAGUGUUCGGAUCAAAAAUAGUAUUCCCAUGCUUUUCCUUGAAAUCCUGUGAUGCUCACUGUUGUGGCGGAAUUAUCUCAUUUGUUCGUUUUCGAAUUACAUGCGUCAUUUCUGCUAGAAUAGAAAACUGAUUACCAGAUCAUACAUCGAAAUGUUUGAAGACGUUUUCCUUGUUGACAAGACGUCUUGAUGUCGGUAACACCUUAUUUAUCGAAUGUAUGAUUGCAAACGAUGAAUUUUCUCAAAUUCCAUCAGCUGAUAGUUUUCAACGUUUGCAUUGGAAGGAAGGGAAAUGUAAAUAAUUAUAAAGAAUGUCGUUGCCUCGGUAGCAGACCGUUUGACACCACCUAUCUAUCAUUGAAGAGAGAACACCAAAAUAUUUUAGUUACAAACUGUGACAGGAAAAACUGCGAAAAAGAUAUAUGGACUAGAGCAUGUCUGAUCAUCGAGAAAAUCGUUUGCGUGUUAACUUAUAGAACAUCUGAGUUGGCACUGGAAGAAAUUUAAAACUUUUGGAAAUAUAAAGUUUAUAGAAGGUGGAAAUUUGCAUUGUAAAUGAAAUGGUUUUUUAAGUACUUGUCUCUAGAUUACUAAAUGAUAGUUCAAGUUGGUAUAUCUUUAAAUGGACCUGCUCUUAGAUAAUAAUCAAUACACAGAUAUAUAAAAGGAA